GGGCAGGGAGGUGGGGAGCAGGCCCUUCUGGAAAAAGGAAGUAGGCUGCCCCCAUCUCAGGAAGCUUCCGGCAGCCUGCAGCCCCCAAGAGAGGACAGAGAGGGCAGCAGGCAGUGGGGGCUGGGGAACAGAAUGGCCUUGGGUGAAGGAGGAGUGGGGGAAGGUACCAGGUAGAAAGAGCAACAGAGCUCCCACCCCCCGGGAGCAGGAGGCCUGGAAGUCCUAAUCCCAUCCUGGCUCUUCGUCCCACCUGCCAUGUUCAUGGGGCCAGGCCUGAACCUCUUGGCACCUGUUUUUUCCCUGUGAGGUUCAUGUGGCCACAGCCACGAUGUCAUCGCCUGCUGUUCCAAUUACCCUCAGCCAGCGAGCAAGUGUCCCUGCCGCCCCUCCCCCCAGCCCCAGCCAGGGCUGCUGGGGCAGGCUGGUGGCCACUGCCUUUAGGGUCCACAGACGCUAGCCGCAGCAUCGAGCUCCCUACACAGCCCCACAGAGGUACCGGGGUCCCCCCUCAGUUCCUUCCGCCGUGCUCACUCUGUUUCAGACCAUCCUCCUCUUCAGCUCUCAGAGAAUGUCAUUUUUACCGGGAAGAUCGAAGCCUUGGUUCUGGAGCUUCCUCAGCCUCCUGCCCUCCUCCCCUCUGGGAAGUGCCCCUGUUCUCUUCUGCACCUCCCAGCGUCUUUCCGGGCUUCUUCCCCCCUCAAGUUUCCCGGGCGUUGAGGAGGACUGGCCGCCGCCUCGCCAAGCCCCGAGCUGAACCCGCUGAUGCCCAGGCCACCCGCUUGUGUCUUGAUCGCCGACUUGAGCUCGUGAUUCUCCCGAAUGAGCUGUACCAGCUUCUUCAGCUCCUCAUUCUCCCGCACCAGCCUCUCGAUCUGAUGCCGAAGCCCCUCAUAAUUGGUGCCCGCUCUGUCCGGCUUCCUGCCGCCCCAGCAAGCUCCCCUCUGCUCUCCAGGCUUCCCCGGCCAUGUCUCUACUGCGGCGCUUACCCGGCUCUGUGCUGGUAGCUGCUGGCUCUGUUUGGCUCACUUUACAGUGAGGCUGGGGGUUGGGCACGUCCCCAGCAGCCAGCAAAGGGCCCAGGGGCACAGCAGGACAUCCCACCCUCCGGCGUGGGAAAACAAGCCUCUCACGGCCUUCCGGGUCUCCUGUACCAUCCGGUCCGGCCUCGCUGUUGGCCUCUCCUGGGGUCGAUGCAUCUGGGCUGGUGAAAUUGAUGGCUCAGCAUGGCUGGGUGCCCACGUGCUUGGUCAAACCCUGGUUCAGAUAUUGCUGUGAAAGUAU